GCUCUGACGUCCGCAGCCGCCGGCGGGAGGUGCCUCCCCGCGGCUGCCAGCUGCCCGACGGCGGGGCCGGGGAGCUGCGAGGCCGGGGGCGCUGCUGCCGCCCCGGUCCCACGUGUAGCGCCGCCUCCCUCUGCUACUCCUCGGCCCGCUGCGGGCUUAGGGGACAGCGGGGCAGCAGCAGCCGGUCCCCUGCGCUGCCUCCAGCCGGGGAGGGGGCUGAGUGGUGCGGCCGCCGGUGCGUCCUGGGGCACGGGGGGGCCCUUGCCUCGCCCUGCCCUGCCUUCCUUCUCCUCCUGGUGCUGGCUCCUAGCGCUGGUUCCCGUGCCAGGUUGGGUGACUUUGCAAACUGCACGCCCGGCUGGGCGUCCUGGAGGCGCCGAGCUGUUAACUAGGAAAACAAAAACCUGCUCUGGCCCCCGACCCAGCCCGGCGCGUCGGGGCGGUGGCAACGGCUGCUGCUGCGAGAGUUCGGGUCUGCUGGAGCUAUCCCCUAGCUCCUCACGGCUCGUACCCGCUCUGAAGCAGCCAUCUGGGGCAGGGGGGCAGGAGGAAGGGGGAAGGGAUAGCACCGGCCGCGGUGCGGCCCAGACGUGCCCCCGGAGAGGCAAGGGUUAACAUGGGCUCGUUUUUCCCGAGCAGCCUUCCUUUCACAUUGCAUCAAAGUCCUUUAAAGCCGUUUCUCUUUCCUCCUCCCCUCCCCGGCUCGAAAGACGCUUUAUCCAUGCAUGCUAAGUAAACAGAUCUUUGUUUUCGUCUUCCACCCACUGCCCUCUUUCUCCAGCCCGAAGCUGGAGCCUCGCCAAGCCGGCUGCAGCGAUUGCUGCCUGCGCACACACAGUCACACACAUACUGGGAGAAGAAGCCGGGUUUCUCGGAAACCAUCUUUUUGUGCCUGAUCUCUGAAAAACACCCCUUGCUGUGACAUGCCAGUCCUAAAGAUAGGAGCAGCAAGUGCUGGAGGACACCUUACAGCUGAGGAGCGUCAUGGUGGCGUGGAUGGAGGUCCAGCACGCUGUGGGAGGCCUUCGUCUUGUCCUGAUUGUGCCCAAUGCUAUGGUUGAGGAAAGGGAGAGAAGAGGUCAGAGGGGGGCAGAUCUUCAAGAUGAACUCUAGCCCCCCCACAUCAGUGCCAUGGCAAGCCCCUUGCCACCCCAUGUUUUUUGGCAUUUUUCACUGGGCCACACUGAGGUCUUGCUGUGUUUCUUUGCUCUUCCCUCCCCGCAGGGUCCCAUUUUCCUUCCUGCCUUUCUUCUGCGCUGGUGGCAGUGAUUGCACAUGGUCCCUUGCCAAAGAGCUGUGACCCCCAGCCUGCACUUCAUCCAUGCAUGCAUCCUCCGUGGGGCCCGCUUUUUCUUCUGAGUCCAAACCAGUGCUACCAAGUUACUCCCCUGUGCCCUCGGUGUUCCCCUUUCCCUCCCGAUCUAGGGCUGCCCCACAUCCUUCCCCUGCUGCAGAUGUGCACUGCUUCCUUCAUGGACCUUAUUGCUAUCCUUCUGUUGGGACAGAGGUCCUACAGGGCAGUAGCAAAAUGGCCAGAGCCAAGGUGGGAAACGUGAUUACAUUGAACAGUGCUACCACCUCUCUUUCUUUGAUCCAUAAUGAUUUAUGGGAGCUCCUCUCUGAGAACUGAGAGGGGAGAGGCUGGGAAUAGUUCUUGAGAUUUUGGAUUUGAUCAGAUGCACAUGAUUUGGGGUCAAGUAGCUCACCCAAGCAGUGCCAUCAUGGCUGAAAGCAAGACCUGCCAGCUCAACCUGUAGAAACCUGACAGCAGAUUACAGCCCUUGCCAGCACACAGCCAGGAGUUCGGUCAUUACAGGGGCUUUGUCUCCACUCUGAUGCAGCUCCCGAUUUUAUGGCAUCUCUGCUGUUUUCAUUCCUACUGGAGAUGGCAGGUUGCUCCACAGGAUUUUCUGGAAAGCUGAAUAAACCUGCGUUUCAGUGGGCUUCUUGCCUAGGUGAGGAUUAUGUGAUUUUUGCCAAACAGUUCAAAAGCCCCUAAAGCAACUGUUGGAUCUUGCUUGUAGACAGCUGCUCAUGUUUGCCUGCAAAAGUGAACUACUGGUAGCCAUUUUAGAAACACAAAGACUUUUUUUUUUCAUCUAAAAUGAUCCAUCAUAUUGAAAAUGAAUCAUCACCACCAGCCUUUUAUGUAUGGAUUUCAAGAUGUACAAUUCAAACAGUAGUUCAGGCAAUGUUCUGCUUUCACAUUGAUGCUGGUCCCAAAGCCAGCCUCAUGGUACACCGAAAAGAGGAAAAUCUUAGUGAAAAAGAAGAAUCUCCAUCCAACAGUGUUUUAUUUAGUGCCAUCAGGGGAAAAAAAAAAAAAACAAACAGAUACUGAUACAAACGAGAGUAUCAGCAGAAGCAGCCUGUUGACAUAAAUAGGCUUUGGACAGGCUCAUGGUAAGCCACUGAUCCUGCAGAUGUUUACAGCCACUUAUAACUUUAUUAACAGGAGCAUCACUAUGAAUGUGAAGCCAUGUGCGCUUAGGUGCUCGCAGGAGGAGAGCAUGCUUCCCUGAGAGCUGCUCGUCAGCUGUGCGCUGAUGGCUGCCCUGCCCUGCAGCCCGCGGAUGACAGAGGCACUGGCAGAAAAAUACUCCACGAAGGCCAGAGGGAGAUCACUGCACCAGCUCCCUGUGAGGCAGGACGUGCCAGAGGAUUGAGAGGGACUCCAGCAGCUACUCGGUGUCUGUCUUUUGGCAUGCAUGGGGGCCUUUUGCUAACGCCGCUGUUUGGUGUUAGCUUCUGAAAAGCUGUGAGGCACCACCUAAGCAGAGCCUGCCUAGAAAAGGAAGCACCAGGAGGACACAGGUGUGCCACUAGUUCACGGCUAUCUGCUGAAAUACGGAGGUGCUACAUAUGCUGCUAUUCUGCUAUGACUUUUGCUCUAGAAAGUUUGGCACAUAUUUAUGCCUGCUUGCCGGGGAGUCGCAUAGCAAGCAAUUGCCUAGAUGCUACAGCAUCUGCUUCACUGGUGGGCUCUGCCCGAGGUGGUUUGGAACAGAAAUUGCACGCUUUCUAUAAAAAAAGGAAACAAUUCUGUUUUUAACUGAGCAGUUGACUUUACACCCUCUUUUCAAGUAGCAGCAGAAAAAAAGUGAGGAAAAAAUCAUGGAAAUACUUGAGAAAUUCAGAGGUUACUACCCUCUAAAGAGGAAUAAAAGCUUCAGAGAGAUACUUCCAGAUGCCAGAAGAAAGGGCAAUUGAUGUGGAAAAGCUUCCUCCCCUUAUCCCCAGGCUGGGUAAAUAGGCAUGUCGGGUUAUCCCAUUUACACUCUGCCUUGACGCGCUGCAUUGCGAGCCACAGUCGGCAAUUGUCUGCGGCCACGGGCGAGGGGGCCAGGAAUGCGGUGGCCAGGGGCUUCCCAGGGCGCAGGCAGAGCGGCCAGCUGGCCGGGUGACCCCUUCCCAAAAUAAACAGGAAGCCUGGGAAGCCGUGACCCCUGUGUGACACCGCGCCAGCUCUACUCCCUGCCUUCUGUGCUGGAGUCGACAGGCUUCCAAGUACCCUCAAAAAAUCGGACAGGGGCGAGGACUUCAGAGGAAAUGUUACAAAAUAAGAGCAGAAACAGAUCUUCUGUUGAAAAAAUUACAGAAGACUUUAAAACUCUUUCUAUUUAAGCUCCCAGAUAGUCAUGUUCCUUGUCUGCUCCAUCCCCCAAGCCCACGCCGAUGCAGUGUGCAAAGCACUGAGCAGCUGCAGAGAAGGGGCAGAUCGUCCCUUUCGGCAUGAGCUGAAGAGCUGCUGUGCAUGAGCAAAGUAAGAAGCGGAGUCCCGGGGAGGAUGCGCCAAGGGGUUUCUCAGUUGGGGUGGGGAGUUUGGGCUGGGUAGCGCUUUUUCCCUGUCUGGGGGAGUUGGCGGCGAGAUCCUCACACAAAAUAAAAGUCAAAAGUGAGGUCCAGACCUUCUUGAAGCGCUUGCCAGAGCUGUAAAAGAUGUUUCCAGCGUGGGAGUUCCUGCAUUACUGAAACGUCCCCCCAAAGCAGUAAACUGGUGCUCGCUGACAGCUCCAGCUGGCAACUCACCUCCUGGGCCCUCCAGAAGAGCCACCAUCCCUAAAGGCAUCCCUGCCUUGGCAGCUGCCAGCCCCACGAUUUGGGCAGGACAGGACCACGCUGUGGGGGAAGCAGCCCAGCUGAAGGUGGCCUUUGCUGCUGCUGACCUCAAGGUUUCCUGCCAGUGCUGUGGGUUUUGCAAUCCCGCUUUUCUGCUCGCUUGGUGGUUGCCUCGUGCUCCCUGCAGGGCUUGGGUGCCCGGAGGGGCUGGGGGCUCUGAGGGGCUGAUGAGUUUGGCGUCUGUGCAGAUCAGCUAGUUCAAGGAGACUUGAAGGGAGAGGAGAAAGGGGGGAUGGAUUUCCUCUUUGAUUGCCUAGGAAUUGCCAGGGGUUUAUAGUUACCAAGUGCAGUCACCUUGCAGGGUAGCAAGACGCACCACACUGGUGGCCUUCCAGCCCAUGUCCCUUUAUCCCCCAGCCUCACGGGGGCUGCUCUGUAGAGAAAGCACCACAACAUAUGAAGCAUCGUGUGGUUGCUACAGGAGAGUCUCUUGAACAGACCUCUCUUCCCUCAGGAGAAAUUUUGGGCAUUGGCAUGCGAAGGCUGUGUUAGGCUGCAGCCACGGUUUGUUCCAGGCACACUGGGGUGCCCACACUUCUGCUAGUCGUUGCAGUUGUAGUAUUUCAAUUUUGUAACAACAAGAGUUAACAGAAGUGUUCCCAAAUCUGAGAAAACGUAAAAUACAAAAGAAACUUGUUUCUGCCCCCUCUCCCACACCACUGCCUCUUAUUCCUCUCCCUUUCUCUCUUUUUCGUGCCCAGACAGUGCCCUUCCUCUGCAAGGUCUCCCUCAGGGAGCACUCUGAGCAGUCAGAGGAGGGGCAAAUGUUCUUCUUCUCUGUGCUUCAGCCUCUAGCCUUAACUUUUUGCUCACUGCUGUGUAAUACACUAAGUUAAAAGAAAUAAAAGAGGGUAUUUUACAACAAGAA